GACGAACGCUGGCGGCGUGCUUAACACAUGCAAGUCGAACGGAAAGGCCCUGCUUUUGUGGGGUGCUCGAGUGGCGAACGGGUGAGUAACACGUGAGUAACCUGCCCUUGACUUUGGGAUAACUUCAGGAAACUGGGGCUAAUACCGGAUAGGAGCUCCUGCUGCAUGGGGGGGGUUGGAAAGUUUCGGCGGUUGGGGAUGGACUCGCGGCUUAUCAGCUUGUUGGUGGGGUAGUGGCUUACCAAGGCUUUGACGGGUAGCCGGCCUGAGAGGGUGACCGGCCACAUUGGGACUGAGGUACGGCCCAGACUCCUACGGGAGGCAGCAGUGGGGAAUAUUACACAAUGGGCGGAAGCCUGAUGCAGCAACGCCGCGUGCGGGAUGACGGCCUUCGGGUUGUAAACCGCUUUCGCCUGUGACGAAGCGUGAGUGACGGUAAUGAGUAAAGAAGCACCGGCUAACUACGUG
rnacentral:rRNA from 1 species